rnacentral:rRNA from 1 species
GACGAACGCUGGCGGCGUGCUUAACACAUGCAAGUCGAACGGAAAGACCCUGCGUUUGUGGGGUGCUCGAGUGGCGAACGGGUGUGUAACACGUGAGUAACCUGCCCUUGUCUUUGGGAUAACUUCAGGAAAAUGGGGAUAAUACAGGAGAGGAGCUACUGCAGCGUGGUGGGGAUUGGAAAGUUUCGGCGGUGGGGGCUGGACUCGCGGCUUAUCAGCUAGAUGGUGGGGUAGUGGCUUACCAAGGGUUUGACGGGUAGCCCGCCUGGGAGCGUGACCGGCCACCUGGGGCCUGCGAUAGGGCGCAGACUGCUACGGUCCGCAGUAGGCGGGAAUCUUGCACAAUGAGCGGAAGCCUGAUGCAGAAGCGCCCCGUGCGUGAUGCUCUCUUUUGGGUUGUAAACCGCUUUGGCAUUUGACGAAGCGGGAGUGACGGUAACUGGUAAAGAAGCACCGGCUAACUACGUG